CCAUACCUCCAGAGAAGUACUUCAGCGGUAGAAGACUCAAGCGGCUGGUCCUCCAGAGGACCUCGAGAGGAGCAUGUUGGCAGAAAAACACACCGACAGACAUCUGCACGCCUGCAGGCCAUUGAUUGAGGGGACUAGGCGGAGUUUGGCCGGGGCUGUUGGAGGAGAGCCGGGGCCACCUAGCGGCCCAAUUCCAGGGGAAAAUCGUCUGCCUCUGGCUCCUCCAUCAGCUGAGAGCUACUUCCACUCAAUAAAACUUUGUACUCUUUCUCCAGUCCCGCAUGUGAUCCGAUUCUUCCGGUACACCAAGGCAAGAACCCGGGAUACAGAAAGCCCUCUGUCCUUGCGACAAGGUAGAGGUUCUAAUUGAGCGGACUUACACAAGACACCUAUAGACGGCAAAUUAAAAGAGCACCCUGUAACACACGCCCACUGGGGCUUCAGGAGCUGUAAACGUUCACCCCUAGACACUGCCGUGGAGUCAAGAGCCCCACAGCCUGCCCAUCUGUAUGCUCCCCUAGAAGUUUGAGCAGCGGGGCACUGAAGAAGCAAGCCACACCCACAUCGCACGCCCUGCGAGGGGGAUGACGGAACCUUUCCCGUUUCAAUAUGACCAUAGCUGCAGUUAUGGCAUUAACCACCCAGUUGUUACCUACUUCUAGAUGAAAGCUCAAUUUUCCUACAUAAUUAAGAGUUUGGAAUUCGGGCAAUAUCAAGAACCACAUCUGUCCUGAAAUCAAUUAUCUCUGUUUGAAACACAAGAAAUAAGAAGACCAUUUUGAGAAGAACAGAGAGUAGCCUUAAGAAAAUCCCUGUCGCAAGCACUCUGGGAUUUGGACUCAAAUGCUAAUUAUACAGAACCACUUGGGUGCCCAGCUGCUGUCCAUUCUCUACACUUAUCCCACCUGAUGGAAGGCUGUUAAGAAAAACAUCACUGCAAUGCCUAAUAAACAGACAUGGGUCCCAGACCCAAUAAGAGUGAAACCAUCCCCCUAUUUAAAUGAAAUUAUGGCUGAUGAGAAAGACAAAUUAAUUUCUCUGUCCCUAGUAUUACACAAAACUUUGGAUGCUGCCAUUGUUACAAUUUUAUUUUCCCCAGGAGCUCAGAGUCCCACCUUCAUUCUUUUUGUUUAAUGCUUAAGCUUGCCUGUCCACCUAUGGAAGACUAGAAUGAGCAAAGACCAUGUAUUCAAUGAUCUGUAAAUCUAACAGGAAACAAUAUAAUAAAUAUAUUGUGUUUGCUAACCAAAUCUGUGAAUGAUUAGAUCGACUGGUUAAUGAUUAGAUGGAUUAACACAUCAUUUCUAUUUUCUCUCUCCUCCCCUACUUCUUGUUUUAAUGAUACCUUCCAAGUUUUAUUUCUCCAAGCCUAACCCCUUACAUAAUACAAGAGGACAACAGUUUGCAAAAUAAAUAUCUGUUGGCCCUAACUGGUAAAUACUGAAAUAGAUUUCAAGUAAUGUGAGUGUUUUUGAAACCACCUAAAUCUGUAAGCCACCCUGCAAGGAACAAGGGUAGCAAAGUGAAUAAGCCAGACAUGUAAAAAUAAAGAUGACAAAAUGGAAGGCAAUUAAUGCCUGUAAUGGAGGUGGGGAAGGGGGGAAUGACAAGUUAAUAAGAAAUUUAUUUUUAAAUGCUAUCAUCUGCCAUAAAAUAUCCAUGCUUAUUUUAGAAAAUAUGUAAAAUGUUUAAGAAUUAAACAUCUUUAAAAAAAUCACAUGAACUCAUCACCCUGCAACAAAACACACACAGAUGAGUGCACACACUUAAACACACAUUAAUUUUCAAUUAGUAUAUAAAGUUAAUAUCCUGCUAAGUACAAGAUACUAUAUCAUGAGCACUUUGUCUC
rnacentral:lncRNA from 10 species